AAAAAAAUUUCCAAAAAAAAAAAAAAAAAGCCAUAAACAGCUGCCAGCACAAGCCAGAAACACAUUACAUCUACAAAUUUUCCACAGAGGACAGGAAAUGGAUGCCAUGUUAGAAUGGGGCUGAAGUUGUUCUGCGAAGCUGAUAUUUUGGUUCAGGAAUGGGGACACAAGGCAACAUCUUUUCCAGCUCCUUCCGUUUCCUCAGCCUUUCAUUUUCUUCUUGCAGGCGAGAAACUUUGUUCUCAAGCUCAUUUGUGUAAGCCUGCUUUCUUGCCCGUGAACGGGCAGCUGAUUCCCGGUUCUUAAUCAUCCUCUUCUGCCUCCUCUCCACAGUCUUCUCCAUCAUAUCCUCUGGCGUGCCUCUUUUCCUUGUAAGUGUCUGUACAUCCGAUAAUGUUCCCAUCAAAGGUGAAGGUAAAGGUAAGGGCACUUGAUUCUCAGGGUACGAAACAUCCAUUACAGCACCUGCCCCCACAUGAAGUGGCUGAGGCAUUGGCUGAGCUGGCAUAUAAACUCCCAUCAUAUUUUGUUGAGGAUGCUGAUACUGCGGAUGCGGGUAUUGCAUCCAUUGACCUUGUUGUUGUGGGAACUGUGGUCCUAUAUUUGUAUCCACCCCAAGAACAGGAUCACCAUCCUUUUUCUCCAAGGAUGCUUCAGCAACAACUCCGGCUUUUACCAAGAAAUCCUCUAAAGUCAUCUCUCCCAAAGUAGGCUGUCGUUCCCUCGACUUCUUUUCCCCAUUGUUUUUACUUUGUUGAAUGUCUCUCCAGACCUCAUCAACAGUCUUCUUGCUCAGAGCACUAGUUAAUGAUAAGCUUGCCUGACGCUGCAAAGCAGUUUGAUUGGCCAAUUGCGUGCCCUCAACUUCAAUACCCAUGGAUUGGUUAGCCUCAACUGUCCAUACAUUCUUGAGCAGUUCAUCCAGGUUCAUGCUGCUCAAAGGUUUCCCAAGGUCACCUAAAUGAUCUUGAACCUCAUCCAAAGUUAGACCAUACAUGGAAUUUUGGCGUGCCAGCGGCUGGAACUGAGUCUGCUUUCCAUCACUGCUACCAUCACAUUGAGAUCCCAUUGUCUGCAUUCCCAUGCAACAAGAUUUACACUUUGCUCAUUCCAAAUCUCAAUCCUAAAUAACCUUCAAAUAACAACCCCUCUACUAGCCACAAGUCUGUCUUAAAAACUGCAU
rnacentral:misc_RNA from 1 species